UACGUAGGGGGCUAGCGUUGUCCGGAUUUAUUGGGCGUAAAGAGCGUGUAGGCGGCCAGGUAGGUCCGGUGUGAAAACUCGAGGCUUAACCUCGAGAUGUCAUCGGAAACCAUCUGGCUAGAGUCCGGAAGAGGAAAGUGGAAUUCCUGGUGUAGCGGUGAAAUGCGCGGAUAUCAGGAAGAACACCAAUGGCGAAAGCAGCUUUCUGGGACGGUACUGACGCUGAGACGCGAAAGCGUGGGGAGCGAACAGG
rnacentral:rRNA from 1 species